CACACACACACAGUAGGACUAGACAUCCCUCGUCCCUGGGAAGCUGGAGGUACACACACACACACACACACAGUAGGACUAGACAUCCCUCUUCCCUGGGAAACUGGAGGUACACACACACACACACACACAGUAGGACUAGACAUCCCUCUUCCCUGGGAAACUGGAGGUACACACACACACACACACACAGUAGGACUAGACAUCCCUCGUCCCUGGGAAACUGGAGGUACACACACACACAGUAGGACUAGACAUCCCUCUUCCCUGGGAAACUGGAGGUACACACACACACAGUAGGACUAGACAUCCC
ensembl:lncRNA